GUUCCCUAUGGUGGCACAUAUACUAAAACUGGAAUGAUACACAGGAGAUUAGUGUCACCCCUGGCCAAGGAUAACAUUCAUGAAGCAUUCCAUAUGUUG
ensembl:snRNA U6 U6 spliceosomal RNA